rnacentral:lncRNA from 1 species
AUGGAUGUAGAUACAGCAAUGCCAAAAGUGGUGUAGUAAUGUGCUGAAGAUUGAUUUGAUUUAAUCUUGAAUGAUGCUGAUGGCGAUGUGCCAAGCUACCCACAUAUCCAUAGUCAAAGAGCAAGCUGAAGGAGUCAUGCUUUUGCAUUGCCAGUUACGUAUAUUUUCAGCUCUGUGUGUGCAGAACAAGUGGCUGCUUACCCGCUAUCUGACAAGGAUACAUGUGGGUUAGUCACUGCACGGAGCUGUUUUUCACCCGAAGGGGCCUAUUUCUCUGUUUGGCCAUGAAUUUUUCAGUAAUGUUAAUGUUGCUGUUUGCAGGGCAUUAACACUGCUGUUAGUGGGGGCCACGCACAUGAGCUGACAAAUGCUCCUCAAGUCUGUCGUCUGAAUUCAGGCUGGAUGGAAGCUACACGAGGAGUUUCAAUGGUUUUGUACUCGGUGGUCAGGCACAGGACGAUGUGCAGUGUUUGCAUUGAUCCCUACACUCCCAGAGCACGUGCAAGAUGUUAGUGUCACAGCCACACUUGAUUCCAACACAAGUUAAACACAGUGCAACACUUUGGGCAUUUAUGGGGCUCCAGGAGGGUUCUCGCAGAGCCAGUGAUGCGAAGGCACAGCCACCACCACCUCCCAGCUCCCAGACCUGCCCCGCUGCCGCCUGCGCUCUGCUUCCCUGCUGCUGGAGGCACAGGGCGGAUAAAAACCUGUGGAUCCCUUCCAGGCUAUCAGUCUGUCACCUACGGGUGGAGUUCAGUUAUCCGUAUGUGAUGUGCUCCGAUUAAGAUCGGGGAAGAGUUUUGAAAGCACAGACUUGCUGUGCUCAAAGUGCCUACAGAAAACUCCUGAGGAGCUGUGGGUCUGUGACUCAGUAUCUGGGUUCAGAUUGCAUCCAGGCCAUGGGCUUUGAUUUUUGAUUUAUUUAUUUUCAGCUGGGGUAAGGCUCAAACACAGCUUCAGCCAUAUAGCACUUAAUGCUCCGCUCUUAUAAAAUUGCAAAAACUUCAUCCAAUUUAGCUAAAUUCAUUGCAUGGUUUCUCUUAAGGAACGCAAUUUGCCGGUUACAUAAGAUUUCUGUGCAUCUAAAAAAAAGCAAAUCCAAUUGUUCCUUCCUGGUCUGCUUCCAAUAUAGACUCGUCCAGCCGGCCCCGAGAGCAGGCUGAGCUCUGGCCCCAAACCCAGCAGUGAGGAGCUGAAGUGGGAGCACUCCAGGGAAACUUUGCUGUCUGAGAGGAGGGUGCUGUGGGCAGCUCACCAUGAAGCUGGUCUUACUGGGGCCCCCAAAGGAAAAAUGCUGUGCUUAGUUUUGGUACAAUGCCUCGUCUCGUUUGCAGAGUGCAGUUGCCUUUUGUAGUAUUAGGGAUAAUUACAAUAAUUUGUUAUUCAUCAAACAGUUGCAUAUCUUGAAAAAUGUACUUGGGGUACUUCAGCAAUGCCGUAUGAGGCAGAGCAAGCGAGGCAGGGAAGGUGUCACAAGCUCCCACGGGCAGAUUACAUGUUUUCUUGAAGAUAAGAUGUGUCCCGGACAGCUACACUAUGGUGAAUCAUGCAGAACAAAUCAGACUUUUUUUUGUUUUGUUUUAAAAAGUACUUUUUAAAACUGCCUGAUUAUGUAAUAAUGCUCAGUGAUUUUUAGGGCUUUGUCCUGCAAGUUAUUGAACAAUUCCAACUUGAGAAAUAUCAAAAGUCAAUUUAUAACCAGCUACCUGGAUUUGCUGUCAAUAAUUUUGAGUAAUAGUGCUUAAAUACUAUUUUCUUGACAAUUCUAAAAACCGAGGGGCUAUU